rnacentral:lncRNA from 10 species
UUUUUCUCAUCUCUGGGAUUCAAAGAAAUUGUGUAUACAGCAAAGAAACCUCAACUGGGAUGAAAUGGAGCUGGAUGACAGAGGACCUAGUGUUUGGGUUUCUUGGAAGAGCCUUAACUGGGACGUUGGUCAGGAAAUGUUACCAAUGCUAUUUGUCAUGCUAAAAGGAGAUGUGACCAAAUAGAAAGGACUGUGGGGACCAUGAAAGGAGAGUAAAUAGGCUCUGGCUGGUUCUGAAUUCUGGGAUCUCAUUAACAGUCAUCAGGAGCAGACAAGCUGGUCGUGUUCUGGGGCCUUCCAAUUUGUGCCACAGAAAGGCUCUCAGAGAAAAGUGCCACUUAAGCCUUCCUGUCAUGCCUGGGAGUGUCAGAAAGUUGUUUGGUAUGACUCAAAGCCUGAUUAUAGUUUGGCUUGUAAAACCACCAUCUGCCUGCAUGAUUUAUCUCAGCCUUUUUAACAAUAUGGUUUUAGUUAUAGCAUUGGGAGUUUUUAGGUGUGAUAAAUGGUAAGAGUAAAUUACCCCUUGAGAUGAAGAAACAUAUGUUAUGAAGAUUAGCAUUAUCAAGCAGUUUAUAAUGUAUUUUGUUCUUAAGGGAAAAUUUUAUGGAAAUUUGAAUCAUCAAUUACAAUGAAUCUGAAGUACCACCAAGAGUUGCUUCACUCCCCCAUCUUUCUAAAUUAAUUAGUGCUGUCCUCAUUUUCAAUAGAACGGAGUGGCUGCCUUUUGUUCGGCUUGCCUAACAAUGCAAUUGCAGACCAAACUAGUGCCUGGAAGAAUUCACAUAGCUGCUUGAAAAUUCAGUAACGUUGCAGGACAUUGGACAGAAAACCCAAGAUGUCUGGGACUAUCAGGAAAGUUGUCAAAAAAAUGUAAUAGAAGAUUAUGGCCUAAUCUGCAGCCUGUUUUUCUUAGCGUGGUGCCUCUUCAACAUCUUCUAAUCUAUUCCUCUUUUGCUUUCACUUAUAUCCCUCCAACUGCCUCAGAUAAACACACUUAUGUAUACAUAAAUGUGCUUUAAUAUUCAUACGUCUAACAUAUUUAUCCCUUCUUCAAUCUUCCUCUUUUAUGAAAAAAAUAGAACAAGCUUUAGGAAUCAGAUGACUAUAAUGUUGUUUUUCGAAUGAUUUUAAACUUAUUACUUGACAAUUAUGCAUUCAUUAGUAGUUCAGAAAACUAGCAAUUUCACAUGUAAGAAGUUAAUUUCUUAGGUUAACAAAGAUUACACAAGGCACAGGGAAUGCAAAGAAGCUAAAUAAACACUUGUUGUUUCUUUAUUGUUGUUGUUGGUUAUAAUUCCCUCUAAGCUGUAAGCCCUAUGAAGAUGGAAAUUGUGUCUGAUUUUUCCACCAUUAUAUUGUCAACACUUAAAACAAUGUCCAGUGUAUAGAAAGUGCUCAAUAAACGUGCAAAGUGAAUGAUCUCGUUGAACACUUACUAUAUAUAUGUCAUGUACUAAGUUCAGUUCUGAAAAGAUGAAGCUUCAAUAUUGAAUGUCUUUGCAGUCUACAAAAUGCUGUGGGAAUACAGAUGAGGAGCAGUGAACUCUCCUGAUGAGGCGAUAAUGGAAGACACAGGAAAUCACAUGAAGAGGAAUUGAAUUUCAAGCUGGGCUUGGACCAGCAAGUAGGAGUUCAGCAGAUAAAAUCGGAGAGUGGGGAGAAUAUGCUGAACAAAGAGAAUAGGAUUUAAAAAAGGGAUGGAGGUUUGAUGGUCCAUUUGAGAACAAUAAAGGAAAAAUGUGGCCAGAAUUUAGGCUGUCUGUGAAGGUGUGAGGCAAACAGGGCUUGAAAGGUAGCCAGAGUGUUUGAAUUUCAUCCUGUAGAGGGAGCCAUUUAGGAUUACAGUACUGUUAUAUAUUGCCAUAGAACAGUAACUGAACUCAAAGUGCAUAAAUGCAUGAGAGGUGGGAAGUUGGAGCAAGGGCAUCUUGUUUGCAUGAGUGAAGACUGCAAUUGAAUGGUUAGCCACUGAACCAAUAAAUACACUCAUUCAGCACGCAGGCAAUGGUGAAGCACAGAGUAUUGUCCCUUCCAUCAUUCUUCCUGGAAAAAGCAAGCAAACAUGUUCUCUUUUUGCCCUUUCGUGAUGACCUGCCUAAGACUUGCAUACAGUUUGGAAUGGAAUGCCUGGGCUCAAAGGCUACAGCCCACAGGUCAGCAUCUGACAUUUUCAUGCACACCGUGUACAGCUCCCUGUGUGGUGGAAUGUGUCAUGUCAGAACAUGAAGAUCUGUGACAAGGCCUGGCAAUGGCUUUGACAGAGAAACUUCUCAGAAAAACUUGCCUGUCUUUUUCUAAUGAGGAAAUCCCAAAAAGAGAAGCUGAAACUUUCCUGUUGUAGAAGGGUAAUAAGUAAGCUGUGGAGAAAAUUGGACAAAUGCAGAAAUCUAUAUAAAGCAAGUGUGACUUUUUCCCGGGAGAAGAUCUUGCCAGAAAACAUGGUGGUCGUAUCAUAUCUGAUUGACUGGUGCAAAACAUGGACUAGGUAAGAAUGGGUACCAGGAAUUUCCUAGAGGACUUAUGGUGGGGCUACAGCUUGACUGCUAAGUCUCCCCGCUGGUUCCUGCUUAUGUGCUUGUAAGGGUCACUCGCAGGGAGAGCCUGGGGCAUGCACAGCUUGUUUUCCUCUCCUCCCUUGCUCAUGACUAUGUUUAGCUCCCAAGCAGGAAGAGGCUGAAUAGCUGUAAGAAAAUCUAAGAGAUUUGUUUGUAUGUCCCUGCCAUCAGAGGAUGGAGUCUUAGAUAAUGGGACUACAAAACGACAUAAUUAAUUUUCCAUCAACUUUUUCCAAGGACUUUCAAAUUUAUUUUAUGUCCUAAAUUUAUUCACCUUCACUGCCAUUCUGUUUUCAGAUUUUCUGUCCAAUCAUGGUACAGUAGCAAAAGUGCCAAACUUGGACUCAAUAAACUAGUUUUAUAUGAUUUGGGGCAUGUCAUUUUUAUCAGUCGUGAUAUUUUAAUGGAUAAAAUGAGAAUCAUGAAACACACGCCUAUGCUAUGAGCACCGAGUGGGUAUGAUUAUGAAAGCAUUUUGUACAUUGUAAAGGGUUAAACAUAUGUUGGUUAUUUAUUUGUUUUAUUUUGACUUGAGUGAAGAAGGUUUAUUCUGGAUUAUUUAUUAAAUGCUAGGGGAGAUGUAGAAAUGAAAGUACCAAAAACAAUCAAUGCCCCAAGUUUCUUUAAUUGUUGGAAGGGCAGACUAUAUCUUUAGGAAACUAUCCUAUAUACUUUUAUGUGCAUAUAUAUCACCUGGAGGAUUUUCUUAAAAUGCAGAUUUUGAUUCAGUAAAUUUGGUGGAGUCUGAGAGACUGCAUUUCUAAAAGCUCCCAGGUGAAGUCUGUAGAGCCAGUCCAUACUCUACAUUGAGUUGCAAUGGAUGAAAGAGAAUGAGGUAAAGCGGAAAGGUAAUACAGGUGAAAAGAGUGAUCAAGACUGAGCUUUCCUGUCGGUUGUCCCUUUAUCUUGAAACCAUACUGGUGAAAUGACUACAUAUAGAAUAACAGUUGUUAAGUAAUCUUCCUGCUGAUAUUGUAUCUUGAUAUAGUUUGUUGUUCUUAAGCGAGUGCCAUUCUUGGGGAGUAAAUCUAGAGCAAGAGAUAGAUAGCACUAAUUGUGGGCUUGGAACAUGACAGCCCUGCCCAUGAUUUGCUGUAAACAUGGUAGGAAACUAGGGAAAUUCGGUUUGUAAAAGAAGUGUCUGUAUUCUGCCAACUGAGGAGUGAUCUGACAAUGAUAAAAUCAUUAGCCUCUAUGACCUUAGCUGUAUUUAAAGAGUAUUCUCUUGGGACACCUAAUAUAAUAUGUCUUGAUUGGACAUUGUGAACUAGCAUUCUUAUUCACAUUUAGAACCAAAUGACUUCCUUCUGGCAUUUUUACAGUGAUUUGGUAGCCUGCCAUGAUAUUAUGCAUUGUUCAGAAUAAUUUUCCAUGUUGCUGAGGUUCAUUUCCCUGAUUUAUAGCUAUUUGUAAAAGUUGGCUCUCAAAUGUCAAGAAGAAAAUAACUUUAUAAUAAAUUACUCCAAACGAAGAGGAGAUGCUGAAAUUCUUGAAAUUCUGCUGUAAUUCUGUAAAGGUAUAGGGUUAUAAUACACAGCUCUUGGUGACUCAAUUCUAAUGGGCAACUGUUACACUUUAAUUUUUAUAGAUACAGUAGUGUCUCGGCUUUUUGUUAGCUACCAAAAUAACCACAUCUGAAAAUGUGCUGCUGUGGUUUGUAACAAAGCUACACAGGCAUAAACUUUGUUGAGGCACCAUUCUCUAAGAUUUGCUGCUUACUGAAUCACCCCUCUUGGAUUGGCAGCAUCUUGAUUAAAAUGAUCAAUAGGGGAACAGAUAGUGAAAUAUCUACUAAUAAUAUUAACUGAUGAGAUCCUUUAGCUCAAUAUUUUGAGCUCACUUUGUUGAGUGUAUCUCACCUACACAAUGAGAAUUCUACCCUAGUGUUAUGUUUAGUUUAUUGUAGAGUUUUAAAAAGCAUUACUAUGGAGAAUAUAAGAAAACAAAAAUACUCAAUAGUUUGGUUCUAUUAUUAAUUUCCUGUAUCCUUUAAAAGGAAUUCUUGAGGCUCUUAGCUGAGUGUAGCUGAGGUCUGUGAAAUGAUGCAGUCUAUAUCCAAGUUGGUAGUUGUUGCUGGCGUGCAAAUCUGUUUCACAUUCAACCUUAGCCAUUAUUGCUCUGUAAUGAUCCCAUCUAUGUACUGGGAAUUUUAACAGUUAUAGUGAAUUCUUAGUUUCUCAGUUUCUAAUUGCUCAAAAGUCUAAUACUGAGUCUUCACCAAAUAUAUUUCUCUAGGUUUAGUUUUCUGCACUGAACUGAAGACUGUCUUAUGCCUCCAAAAUGCACUGCAGAGUGUCUGCCAACAAUUGUUCACUAGCUGUGAAUGUUUGUUCCUUUUCAAUGCUUCAUCUAAUUCCAGGUGCCAGUGACUUUGCUACCACUCUAAAUGUGGUUAAAAAGAACAACUUUCAAAUUGAUUGUAAGUGGAAAUAAUAGGUCUUUAUAAUUUGUCUAUAAUAUAAAGGACUCUAGAUAAAACCGUUAAAUCUCUCCCAUGACUUACGUAUAAAGUGCUGCUUUCAUUUCACAAGGAAAUUAUUGAUUUCAAUUAGUUCUCUUUAUACUAGAAAUCAUCUGGUAUUAAUUUAAAAAUUUUUGAGAUGUCUGUGGAAUAAGCAAAUGAGACAACAAAAAGCUAUGUUUUAAAAAAUAAAACUUUCUGAUAUAUACAAAAUUAAUAUUCUUUUGGGGAAAAUUCAAAAUAUAGAAAAUUAUUGCUUAAGUCCCUGCAAAAUUCUAUCACCCAGAGAUAAACAUAGUUAACAUUUCUUUUUGUGAGCAUUCUCUAGAGAUAAUGCUUUUUUUCAUAUUCUUGGGCAAGUUAUUCAGUCUUUCACUGUGUAAGCAUAUUUUUCCUCUUCUAUAAAAUGGGAAUAAAAAUGAUACUUGUCACCUAGGGUUGGAGAUUUAAUGAGUUAAUAUGUAUAAAAUGUGUAACUUAGUACCUGAAAAUAGUUAAUAAAGAUUUACUGACAAGGCAUGGUGGCUCAUACCUGUAAUCCCAACCAACAUAUUGG